rnacentral:lncRNA from 1 species
CAGUAAUCUAGGCACAGCUGAUCUCAGGGCGUCUGACUCAGGAUCUCUCACAAGAUGGCAAUCACAGCACUGGUGGGCACUGUGGUCUCAUGAGAGAGCUGGACUUGGGGCAGAUCCGCUUCCAAGCUCACUCAAGGUAUUGUGAGAGGCAUUCAGGUCCUCGUGUGCUGCUGGACUCAGAGGUUUGUGGAAGCGUUCGGGUCCUCACGUGCUGCUGGACGGAGGGCCUCAGUCCCUCAGUGGCUGUUGACCAAAGGCCUCGCUUAGUUCCUUACCGUGUGGACUUCUCCAAGGGCAGCUCACACAUGGGGAUUGGCCUCUAUCAAAGCGGGUAAGAGGGAAAGAUUGGGGGCAUGCCCCUAGAUAAAGCCACAGUCUUUGUAACCUAAACCUAAUCUCAGCAAUGACACCUUAUAAUUUCUGUCAUGUGUUAUGAAUUAGAGGCAAGUCAGUAAGUCCAGUUCAAACCUAAAGGAAAGGGAGUGCACGAGGAUGUGAGUUCUGGGAGGUGAGGCUCUCUGGGGCCAUCUUGGAGGCUGCCGACUACAGUGUGAACUCUUAUUUUAUUCAGAAGAUUUGGUAUAUUUGCUGGCCAGAAAGCAAGGAACUGUUCUAACAAACUUUCUGAAUCUCUGAAAAAAACUCAUGAAAAGAAGAGUGAAGGAGGCAGAGUCCCGGAUAUUCUUAGCCAGACCCUCCAUGAGCUUGGCUGCCAUCUGACACAAACAUGUCAGCGGGGACGGAAGAUGAGCACGGGGCCAUCCAGGAAACAGUUGAAAAUGUGGAAUUGAAUGUCAUAAAGAAG